AGUAAUCGGCUUUCUUUCGAUCGGCACACACCAUGAAUCGUCUAAGCCGCUUAUGAUUAAUGCCACGUCGAUUCAGUUUGCAAUAAAUUUCGAUACGAUCGAUACAAAGUGCAAUGCUUCGUUGCGUAUUCCGAGAGUUGGAUCUAUCCUUUGAGAAAUAACGAUGCGUUCUCAGAUAAUUAGGAUUAAAUCAUACGAUUCUCCACCCUUUUUUUGUGAAAAUCAGUUUACAAAAUAUUGUGACGUAAUCACGUUUUUAGAUAAAAAAAGAGAUUCUCGUAAUAAAAUAAUUUCAUUUGUUCUGCAGGCAUUUUUAUUCUCGAUCAAUUUUGAGAUAAUGAAAUGCGAAAGAAUUAUCGGAUGGUGAAGUUUUAAAAGAUUGAAAAUCGUUCGCAUAUGCUCGAUUCUUCGAAAGAAUCGUUUCACCUGAUUUCUGAUGCAAUAUUAAAACGCGAUGUGGAAAUCUGAAGUCAGGAGAUUAACUUAACUUACCGAGAUUACCGGCGCCGAAUGAUGAGCAAUGAAAAAGAUCGUAAGAAGAUUAAAUAACCUCGAGAAUGUUACAAUAUAAUAUUUUUGAAUAUCUUAUAUCGUGCAUUCUGUACACGUUCCUCUUAAAACAAGUCUAAAUUUCUCAGAAACCGAUGAAUAAAGGAUUGGAAGGAGGAUGAUCUCUAGUCACGCCUAGAAAAGUAAGCCGAUAUGUGCGAACAAUCUGAUUUCUUGACAUCGUCGUAUAAUAAAUGCCUCGGCAAAUAUACGACAAGCAUAUUGAUUCACAACUGCAGCCAAGAUUCACAAAAUCAGCAAGAUAAAUUAUUACCGAAAGAUGGUAUCGCAGAGGAAGAUUCCAUCAGCGUGAAAUCGGUAGACACGUCCCCUCGCGAAUGAAAAAGGAAUUAAUGAAAACCGAUGGAAUGUGGGCGCGCAUGCGCGCCUCACUCGCAUGGUGGCGAUCGAAAAGCACGUCGGGAAAUAGGAGAAUUCUAUUAUUAGAGUUUAAUGCGCGGAUAUUAUGCGGUAACCCUGUCGAGAAGGCAUCCAUCGAGAGUGUCCAGCCUCGAUCCUUAUAAAUAAUUCAAUGUGGCGUCGCGUGUGCACGCGUGCGCCCGCCACGGCGGACAUCUUUUAUAGUUUCGAAGUGGAAAGAAAAAAGGAACGCGAUGCCGAGGGGAAAUAAAAACACGAAGUCGCGGCCUCGUCAGUCGGCCAAGGCUGCGACUGGUGCAUGUGUGGGCGGAUGCACGAAGAACUCGAUCGUUCGAGGCGAUGCGAUCGAUCGAUCGAUCGGUCGAUCGUGUCCGUUCCCGCGAUUUUCGAACGUUUCGUGAUCGUCGAACGAUCGAUCCACGUCCGGUCGAUCAUUCCGCUCGAUUCGUUCGAGUGUGCGACGUACAAGGUGCACGUGCACUUCGAUUCAACGCGCAUCAUCGAUGGGACGGCGGUAUUACUCAACUGCGUACCGUGUAGAAAAUCUCGGCGCCAUGUUGAUGGUUCUUGUCAGCGGAUGUUAUUGUCGAAUUGGAUUUCCAUUGUAAUUUUUAGUAGCAAAAAUAGAAACGAGAGUAAGGAAAUCUUUAUUACAGAUUUCGUUGAUUUUUAAUUUGUGUGAAAGAAAUAUUAUGGAAUGUUGUAUGGUUCGAUUUGAUCUCGAAUCGAUGGGUCAAGGCUGUUAUUCCGAAACGUAGGCGGACCAUGUCGACGGAAAAUCUGCUAAAUCGACCGUUUUUAUGAUAUAGCCGGCGGCUAAUUCGAUUUGCAUAAUAUCGACGAUUUAAAAUCAACGGAUUGCUGUUUCAUCGAGAUAUAGUUAUUUAACAUACGGGUAUUGAUUUGUUACUUUGUAUGUGAUUAUGAUAUUUUUCGCUCGAACUUCGUAGAAGUAUUUUUUAUUGAUUAAGUCGUAGACUAUAGUGUUAUAAUAUAAUUUAAUCGGUAAUUGGAAAAAUUUUAAAAUACGAUUCUUGCAGAACGAAAUUCAAAACAUCCAACACGAGUAAUCAAAUUUAAUUUUUCUUCUAAAUUAUUCUACAUGAUUACAAUAUAAUAUGCAUUAAUAAAUGAAAAUUUCCAUCAUUACAAAAUUGAAAAAUGCAAAAUGUGCAAUAUAUUAUAUUCUAAAUAAGAAAUUUCUGAAAUAGGAUUUUGAAUAAUGGAUUUUUUGAUGACUAAAGGAGACUAUAAAGGAUAUUAAAAUAUCAAGUAGGAGUCAAGGAGUGGAGGCGUCAAGGACAUUUCAAGAUCAGUUAUGUUUCUACAAAUAGUACUUAAUGCACAAAGUCUUGAGUUUACUUCGGAUCUAGUCAGAUAUUAUAUAAUAAUCAUAAAACAUCACUUUGACUUUGAAAUGCUUUUCAAGUCUCCAUCUAUUUAUUUUUCUCUUUUGAAUUUUAAUAUAGUUAUAUUUUAAUAUAGUUAUGUUAGAAUUAACAAAAAUUAAAGUUUAAAGAAAAAACGCCUUAAAAUAUUAAAGAGAAAUAAGAGAAUAUUAAGAGAAUAUUGGAGAAAGCAUUAAAAGAUAUUUCACAAGAAAUUUUGCAUACAUGGCACAAAAUACAUAUUACUAAAUAUCAAAUAUCAUUUAACAAGACACAAACUUUUAAAUAUAUCUAACACACCUGCCAUUUAAUAUUCUAUAUAACAUCUUUUAUAAUCUUUAUUACAUGAAUCUCCAUAUGUUACGAUAUUAACAAUGAAAUGAAAACAUUCCAGGAAACGAAUAGAAUAUAAUUGCUUUCGAUUACAUUGAAUUCUCUCUUGCUGCUCGACCAUUUACCGAAGACACAUUAAUAAGACAAUUAACUCUCUAAAAAAAGAAGAAGAAAAAAUAGCCUUCGAGAGUUUUGCAAAACAAAAAAAUCUAACUUAUAAAAAACUAUCAAACUGCCAACGAAAGAAAUGUCACUAUGCAUAUUUCUUGGACAUCGAUUCGUGAAGAAGCCCGUCAUUAAACAGCAAGGUUGAAAAGCAAAGCGUGAACGAAACUUGAUACGUUCGUGCUAUGAUAAUAUCAUCGAAUUGAUCGAAAACUUUGUGCUAACGGAUAUAAAUAAAAUUAAUGAGAUUAUGCUUUCGAAACAUGGACUGGCGCUCAGACACGGUUAAUUGACGAUCCCAAUUCUAAAAUCAAUAUGAAGAAUAAUAUAUACGCAUGUUUCGUUAAUGGAGUCGCGAUCUUGAUAAAGACCACACGAAAGUUCGAUUAUGCGACUGAAAUGAAACGAGGAACGCGCCUUAUCCCUGGCCAAUAAACGCGAAACGCCCUGAUAAGCCGCGAUACGGCGAACGACACCGAUAGUUCUUGAGUAAAGGUGAAAGGAAACUGGAUUUAAGCAUAUACGGAAUGAAACCGGUUUCAAUACUUUCCGAACCCCGUAAAGGAAACAUUUUCCUGUGUGCUCGAAUGGAAAAUCAACAUGGAAUCCGCGUGAUUCCAACAUAUGGCGAAUCUCUAGUGAUAAGAUGAAAUUACGAAAAAUAUAUGAUGAGAAUUGUUGAAAUAUUUAAUCGAAAAAUAAAAAUUAAACAUAUUUCAAAAUUUUAAUAAUCAUCAUGUUAUUUAUAUCAAGUUAAUUACUUUUAGUAAUGUUAAAAUGGAUUAACUGUUGUAAAGAAUAUACUUCUAACAAUAAAUAAGUUAAAGAUUUUA